rnacentral:rRNA from 1 species
GGGGAUCGGGGUUCUAAAGACUCCCAAAACCAUUGUGAACGUACCCGUCAGCGUUGCCUCGGCGGGCGGCCCCUCCCUGGGGCCGCUGCCUCCCUCGGGGGGUGCCCGCCGGCGUACCAAAACUCUUUUGUAUUUUAGUGGCCUCUCUGAGAAAACAAGCAAAUAAGUUAAAACUUUCAACAACGGAUCUCUUGGUUCUGGCAUCGAUGAAGAACGCAGCGAAAUGCGAUAAGUAAUGUGAAUUGCAGAAUUCAGUGAAUCAUCGAAUCUUUGAACGCACAUUGCGCCCGCCAGUACUCUGGCGGGCAUGCCUGUUCGAGCGUCAUUUCAACCCUCAAGCCCUGCUUGGUGUUGGGGUCCUACGGCUGCCGUAGGCCCUGAAAGCUAGUGGCGGGCUCGCUAUAACUCCGAGCGUAGUAGUAAAAUAUCUCGCUAGGGAGGUGUCGCGGGUUCCGGCCGUGAAAGCCCAUCUUUUACACAAGGUUGACCUCGGAUCAGGUAGGAAUACCCGCUGAACUUAAGCAUAUCAAAAGCCCGGAGGAAA